AUCACACUCCAGCCCGGGCAACAAGAGCAAAACUCUGUCUCAAAAAAAAAAAAAAAGUAUAUAACAUUCCCAAAUGCCACAUACUGAAAAUUAUCUAAAGGCAUAUUUACUUUUAGAUUUCUUAAAAUGUUGUAUUUGUGAUAUCAGAUACAGGUAUCACAAACAUCUAGGCCCAUACACCCUACGUCUUACAAGGUCAGAAAACUUAGCUAAGAAUAGCAAUUAGCUGCAUGGGCAAUGUUCAAGAGAAAUUACCUAAUUACCUGGGACAUAUUUUUUUUUUUGAGACAGAGUCUCACUCUGUCACUGGGCUGGAAUGCAGUGGUGUGAUCUCAGUUCACUGCCACCUCCGCCUCCUGGGUUCAAGCGAUUCCCCUGCCUCAGGCUCCAGAGUAGCUGAGGCAGGAGAAUGGCA
rnacentral:lncRNA from 1 species